UGAGAUUGAUGCAUAUUAUUAUGACAGCGCGACCCGGACUUGCAAGCCCUACAAGUUUUGUGGGCCACAGUCAGCGCCACAAGGCACCAAUUUCUUCACGACCAUGACGGAUUGCAUCAUGGAAUGCGAAGGGUUUCCAAUCGUAAAGACCAACUAAGAAGACGCGUAGCGCGGUCACUGGCAUGCAUCUCGUUUUCUCCUGUUUGUAGUACAUUGUUUGAAUUUACGUAACUCUUCAGUGACGCCGACCGAGUGCGAAAUUCCCAGUUGAAUAAAUUCGUUCUCAAAUGAAGUUA